rnacentral:rRNA from 1 species
UACGUAGGGGGCAAGCGUUGUCCGGAAUCAUUGGGCGUAAAGAGCGUGUAGGCGGUUCGGUAAGUCGGCUGUGAAAGUCCAGGGCUCAACCCUGGGAUGCCGGUCGAUACUGCCGGACUAGAGUUCGGAAGAGGCGAGUGGAAUUCCCGGUGUAGCGGUGAAAUGCGCAGAUAUCGGGAGGAACACCUAUGGCGAAGGCAGCUCGCUGGGACGUUACUGACGCUGAGACGCGAAAGCUUGGGGAGCAAACAGG